CCUACGGGAGGCUGCAGUGGGGAAUAUUGCACAAUGGGCGCAAGCCUGAUGCAGCCAUGCCGCGUGUGUGAAGAAGGCCUUCGGGUUGUAAAGCACUUUCAGCGGGGAGGAAGGCGUUAAGGUUAAUAACCUUGGCGAUUGACGUUACCCGCAGAAGAAGCACCGGCUAACUCCGUGCCAGCAGCCGCGGUAAUACGGGAGGGUGCAAGCGUUAAUCGGAAUUACUGGGCGUAAAGCGCACGCAGGCGGUCUGUCAAGUCGGAUGUGAAAUCCCCGGGCUCAACCUGGGAACUGCAUUCGAAACUGGCAGGCUAGAGUCUUGUAGAGGGGGGUAGAAUUCCAGGUGUAGCGGUGAAAUGCGUAGAGAUCUGGAGGAAUACCGGUGGCGAAGGCGGCCCCCUGGACAAAGACUGACGCUCAGGUGCGAAAGCGUGGGGAGCAAACCGGAUUAGAUACCCGAGUAGUC
rnacentral:rRNA from 1 species